AACCGGCUGUGAAAUAAUCGCAGCUUCCUAAAGAAAUUUAGGAUGAAAAACGAGGUUAAUUGCGGGAAGCCUAAAGUAAAACCAAGGUAAUCCGCAGCCAAGCCGUGAACUUUAAAAUUCACGGAAGGUUCAGAGACUAUCCGAAAGGAGUAGGCCGCUAAAUUUUAACGGUCGAAACGCCUCGCAUCCGAAAGGAUGAUGAUAUAGUCCAUCCUUCAAGGAAACUUGAAG
rnacentral:ncRNA from 1 species